ensembl:lncRNA
CCUCUGGCGUGCCUUGUGCCUUGUUCAGUCCUGGGACAGGAUAAGUGGGGCGAGCCGUGGCCAGAUACUAGGCUUAGUCUGUUGCAUGUCCACCCCUCCCCGCCUCUCCUGGAACAUGCUCUGUCCUGCACGGAGCCUGCCUCUCCAGUGUCACUAGGACCUGCACAGCACCCUAGUACCAGGGUGCACUGGCACAGCCCCUAUCUGAACGUCAGUGGGACCUGGCUUCUGGCUGCUGCAGGGGACACCUGGCCCCAGCCAGACUCUAGUGCCCAUAACUGUCUUCCUGGGGUCCUGAGACCCCCACCCCAAGCUUCAGCCACCACCAGCCUCUAGCUACCACCCUUUCCCUUUCACACCCCCCCCCCUGCCAUCCCUGCGGCUGCUGCUUCCAUGUCAUUUGCCUUUGAAGUGCUGAGAGAGCCUAACCACAGUUGGCAGUGUCCUCUGUGGGAAUGCAGAGGUUAGAACCUCCCUGUUGUGUUCUGCUGGGCUCCUGUGGAGGUCGUGGAUGGGGCUACAGGCUGCUCAGUGGGAGGCGAUGCCUAGCCCUGCUGGACCUUCCAGCCUGUGCCCACCCUCCCUCUUCUUUCCAGUGGCCCCACCCGUGAGUCACCAAUGUGAGUCCAUUGACACCUGCUGACUGGCUACUCUUGCCCACCAACCCUGCCAGACCACCCAGGCUGUGUGGAUCUUGACAGUGUGCACUGUGCAACCUGCCGCUGCUCAUAGCAGCUUCUGGAAGCCAACUCAUGAACCAGCCAGUGCAGAGCCAGAGGGAGUCUGCUCAGGGUUUCAAGGAACAGGGAUGUGUGCCUCCACACCCCUUGCAGCCAUCAGCAGAUGUCAGAAGAGGGUGCCGGAUAUCUCAGGACUGGAGUUAUAGAUGGUUGUGAAUCUCCAUGUGGGUGCCGGAAACUGAACCCAGAGCCUCUGCAAGAGCAGCCAGUGCUCUUAGCCUCUGGUCCCC